AGUAUUUUCUAUUACCUCAUGAUUUGAGAUGUCUGUUUUCUUGAUAUCUAUGCCAGGAAGUAAUUCAGAAUUCAAGGAAUCUGAAAAGUUAUUUAAUUCUUCUUCUGUCCAUUUUUGAUUAAGGAGACUUCUAGCUUUAUUUAAUGACUCUUUGGAGACCCUUAUAUUUUUUCUGCUUGCAGUCUGAAAGGAUAAAUAAAAAGUGUCAAAAUCUUUUAUGUUUUGCCCCGUAUUAGCUGUUAACUGCUGUUUAUUUGACAUAGUAACAUGAGAUGUUUCUUCAGCUUUCAUAACUUCCAAACAGGUUAAAUCUGACAAACCUUCUUUAAUUUGAGUGUUCCCCUCCUUCAUAAACUGGCUAAAUAAUUUCAGAUCUAUGUUGUGCUGAUCAAUACAGGGCAAGCCAUUUUCUUCUUCAUGAAUAUAAACUGUAUCAUUUUUACUUGAAUCACUGCCAUCAGAUUCUGAGUUACAAGUAUUUCUACCAGCGUCAGUACAUUGGUUACCUUCAUUUUCUGUAUUUCUCCUGUAACUUUCAGUAUAUUCUUCAACAAAAAUGUCAGUAGUCAUUUCAAUAUUAUUUUGUAGUAUUAGCCGGCAUUUAUUAUUUUUCUCAUUUAAAUUUUUAUCAUUACAAUCUUCUAUCUGAAUCAUUGAGACAGAAUCAUUGUAUUUGCUUGAGGAGAAACUUCUAUCUACUUCUACAGAAGUUUCCUCAUUGAUAUUCUCAAGGUCACUGAACAGUUUCUUAGCUUUUUGCAAUGCUUCACUACCAACAUUCAGUUUUGUGCCACGAGCAGAAUAAAAGCCUCUAAACUCCACUUCAUUUUUAUCUGUUGAAUAGCCAGAAGCACUUCUGUUACAGCUGGUUCUUGACAAGCAAGCAAACUUCUGCUUACCUCCAAUUAUACCUUCAGAUUUCUUGCUAUCUACCUGACUGAUAGAUGGAGCAUUAGUUGUGAGAUGAAGAUCAUCAUCUUUCCAUUCCUUAGAAGUGCUAUUCAAGAUAGUCAGCUGGUUUUCAGGCAUUUCAAAUGGAUUUUUCUGUAUUAUGUGGCUUGGUUUUCUAAACUGUGUAAAUUCAAACUGGCUUCCUGAUUCUUCCAAAAUAGUAGAAAGUUCUGUAAUUUCUGCCUUUUGACUAGGAGUUAAAUUACGAUUUGAAUCAAAAUCUUGCUUUAAAGAUAAAGUUGGAGGAGCUGUGUGACCACUUUCACUAUCAGAAACAUAUGUGCUAUUCUGCACAAACCCAGAUAUGAUAUUAAUUGACUGUGGAUCAAGUGCAUGAGAUUUGCUUGGUUUCUUUUGACUUUCUAAUGAUGAAGUAUUUACAAUUUCAAGACAUGCUAAGUUAGUAGGAUAAUGUUCCUCAAUAUCUUUGAAAAGCAUUUUACUUUUCCUAAUGUUGUUUUCAGAGAGUUUUAUCUCUUUAUUAGAAGCUGUUUUGAAGCCAUUUUCAAAACUGUGAUUUGAAAUUGGAUCAGACAGUCUUGCCCAAUUAUCCAUAUAAUCACUGUUUCCAUUUGAUUUCCUAACUAUAUCUGAGGUAAUGUCUGAUUUUGAAUCUUGAUCUAGAGUCAUUUUUAGUUGUUGCUUUAUGGUACUUCUGUUCCUUUCUGUAAGAUCAUCUAUGCUUGAUGAAUAACAAUCUUUCAUAAUCGACACUUUGGCUGUUUGUUUGUCAUCCAGGUCUGUACAUACUACCAUGGUAGAGUUCUUAGGAACAGAAUCUCUUACACAACAGAGGUUUGAAUCAUGUAGUUCCUUAGUAUUUCCUAAAACAGGAGUAUUACUUUCAUUAGUUAUCUUUAAGACAAAAUUAUUUUCAUCAUCUGGGAAAAGUUCUUCAGAGUUUGGAUUAACAGUUAUUUUUGAAAUUAAAGUAGUUUCUUUUUGGUCUUUUUGGAUUGUGGUGAGAUUUGCAUUUUGGUUGAACUGAACCUUUACUGAAGAUGAUGCUACUGUUAUAUGUUUUUCAGUUGACAACAGUUUAGCAUUUUUAGAAUCUGCAUUUAAAACAUGUAUGUCUUGAUUCUUUUCCAUGGGAAUAUUUUGGGUUAAUUCAAAACCAGUUUCAUGAUUCUUACAUUUUAGUUUCUCUGAUAUUUUAUAUGAUUCUUUUCCUCUAGACAUCACAACUAGGCUUGAUGGAGAAUCCCUAGAGCUAGGAGUUAACAGACUGGUAUUAUCACAGUCAAAUGAAAAGCUUUCUGGAGACUGAAAGUGAAUAUCACUACCUUCCACUUCUGAAUGUGGCACAGGAGGGUGACUUACUGUAGGCAAGACUUUUUCUUUUAUAUCUGAAACUCUUUGUUUUUUUGCAUCAUCUUCCCAAUGUUUUUCCUGCAGGGAUGACAGACAAUCAGUUUCUGUGGUUAUAAAUGACUCCAAUUUUUUCUUAUUAAUUUUUGCUUCUUUAUAAUCAGGAUCCUGAGAUAUUAUUUUAUUAUUAGGAGAACUGGCUCCAUUACUGGAAACUUUUCUCAGAAUUGUCCCAAAAGAGCUGGUUAAAGACAAAGCUGGUUUUUCUGAGUCAUUCUGUAAACAGUUUUUUUUGAUGGAAGAAGAAUGCAAUAAACCUAAGCAUGAAGACACAAAGUGACAAAAUUAAAGUGCCAUCAAUCACAUUCACUAAGUAUUUUUCACUAAGUAAAAAAAAAAAAAAA
rnacentral:lncRNA from 1 species